UACGUAGGGCGCAAGCGUUAUCCGGAAUUAUUGGGCGUAAAGAGCUCGUAGGCGGUUUGUCGCGUCUGCCGUGAAAGUCCGGGGCUCAACUCCGGAUCUGCGGUGGGUACGGGCAGACUAGAGUGCAGUAGGGGAGACUGGAAUUCCUGGUGUAGCGGUGAAUGCGCAGAUAUCAGGAGGAACACCGAUGGCGAAGGCAGGUCUCUGGGCUGUAACUGACGCUGAGGAGCGAAAGCAUGGGGAGCGAACAGG
rnacentral:rRNA from 1 species